CUCUUACUAGUUUAAUGGUAGAACAAGAUAUUCCUAAUAUCAACGUCCAAGUUCAAAUCUUGGGUAAGAAU